CGGGUGUGUAAGAGGCACGGGGCCACGUGCCAUGAAGCUUGAGCCUUGGAAUCAAGUGACCUGGAUUUCAUGCCUGCUGCCAGGAUACAAGUAUGGAUUCAUCAGCCAGAAUGUUUACUCUGGUCUGGUCUACUCCAGGCAAAUCAGAGACACCCCCCCUCAAUAUUUCUAAUACAGCACUGGAGCUCUCAUUUUAGAAAGGAGAAGACAGAAGGAUAAAGAUGAGAGCCUAGAAGAGAGAAGGCAGGUGCAGAAGAGCAUUACAGCCUCUCUCCCUGGGCCUGACCUCCAGCACAGCAUGGCUGCCAUCGCAAGCCUGGACAUUGUUCUCCUGUUAAGGAUGAGGAUGUGGAGAGGCUAAAGCAUCUGCCCAGGUUCAGAUGGCUGGUUGGUGACAAUGAUAUUUUCUCUGCUUAACUCGGGGCCAGUAUCAAAGUGAAGUUUCAAGUUGACCUCCCUACAGGGUUCUGUCAAGGGUGAAGCACAUGGCUAUUCUCUUUCUCCCUCUGUUCUUUAAGGGGCUGAAGAAUGGCUAGGUUUAGACUUCAGCUCUAGUGUCCUUUCCUGUUGGUAAGUUUGGUUUCUAAAUAAAUAAUUAUCCUGUCCAC